GAUGAACGCUGGCGGCGUGCCUAAUACAUGCAAGUCGAGCGAAUGGAUUAAGAGCUUGCUCUUAUGAAGUUAGCGGCGGACGGGUGAGUAACACGUGGGUAACCUGCCCAUAAGACUGGGAUAACUCCGGGAAACCGGGGCUAAUACCGGAUAACAUUUUGAACCGCAUGGUUCGAAAUUGAAAGGCGGCUUCGGCUGUCACUUAUGGAUGGACCCGCGUCGCAUUAGCUAGUUGGUGAGGUAACGGCUCACCAAUGCAACGAUGCGUAGCCGACCUGGGAGGGGGAUCGGCCACACUGGGACGGAGACACGGCCCAGACGCCUACGGGGGGUAGCAGGAGGGAAUCUUCCGCAAUGGACGAAAGUCUGACGGAGCAACGCCGCGUGAGUGAUGAAGGCUUUCGGGUCGUAAAACUCUGUUGUUAGGGAAGAACAAGUGCUAGUUGAAUAAGCUGGCACCUUGACGGUACCUAACGAGAAAGCCACGGCUAACUACGUGCCAGCAGCCGCGGUAA
rnacentral:rRNA from 1 species